CUACGGGUGGCUCCAGUUAAGAAUUUUCUGCAAUACACGAAAGUGUGACAGAGUGAGUCAAAGUGCUUUUCAAUGAAAAGCUUUUGCCAGAUGUAAAAAAUCUGGCGAAUAAGGACUGGGUAAGACGGGUGCCAGCCGCCGCGGUAAUACCCGCGGUCCAAGUCGCAGCCAUUAUUAUUGGGUCUAAAACAUCCGUAGCUUGCUUGAUAAGUUUCUUGUGAAAUCUGGCAUCUUAAGUGUCAGGCGUGCAGGAAGUACUAUCAUGCUAGAGACUGGAAGACGUGAAAAGUACGAUUUAGGUAGCAGUUAAAUGCUUUAAUCUUAGUCGGACUCACAAUAGCGAAGGCAUUUCACGAGGACAGUUCUGACAGUAAGGGAUGAAGGCUAGGGGCGCAAAACGGAUUAGAUACCCUCGUAGUC
rnacentral:rRNA from 1 species